UCAUCCUCCCUGCUAAACUAUUUAACUAAGGAGUUUUUGGAGGAGUUUUUUUAUGAUGAAUACCCUGCUCUCUACAAUAUCUAUCAAAAGGACCAAUAUACUCACCACUAUUAUCUGAGCGGAUUCAUUUCAAUCUCUUCCCUUCUGUCUCUUAACCAAGGUCUGAAAAUCCCCGAACACAUCAAGUACUUGAUCCUUGGAAUUCAAAGGAAAUAUCCAGAGUUUGCGAGAAUGAUCAUCAAUAAAAGUCUCAAAGUAAAGUGAACCACCAUGAGACCUUACUUUAAAAGGACCAAAUAAAUCAAAAUGUACCAGCUCCAGCAAAUCAAGCUUUCUUGAAGGCGGAUGACUCUGAGAAGAAACUCUUUUCUAUUUACCGGCUAAGCAAUGAGCACACUUCUUCAACUUUGCUUGUUUCACUCCAAAAAGUAAAUUUUUCUUAGCCAAACUAUCAAUCUCCUUCUCACUCAUAUGACUCAAACUUCUAUGCCAUAACUCUGAUGAAGUAUCAUUUUUCACCAAGUUUACCAAGCCUCUAAAAGUGGAGCCCUGAAAUACAUACAAGUUAGACAACUUGUCACCUCGAGUCACAAUCAUCGAACUUCUAGUAAGCUUACACUGGCUACCACCAAGGGCGUUAACAUAACCCUCAUCAUCAAGGUUUAUUACAGAAAUCAAAUUCAAGUAGACAUCUGAAGCAUGCUUGACAUUAUUGAGAAGUAGUUUGGAACCAGUGUUACUUUCCAAACAAACAAUAUCAAUGCCAAGUACUUUAACUUCAUCAUUUUUGCCUAUUUUCAACAUUCCAAAUUACCUGGAGUAUAAAAAGAAAAUAAUUCCUUCUUUGGUAUAACAUGAGAAGUAGCACCAGAAUUCACAAACCAACUAGACUCAUCACGAACAAGAUUAAUGGCAUUCUCACCACAAGCAAUAAGAAAAUCAUCAUUAGCAACAACUGCAACACUAUUUUCAUUAUCGCUUUUGUUCUUUUUUCGUCUCAUAUCUCUCUUAUGCUUGUAACAAUAUUUCAUGAUAUGCCCCUUUUUAUUGCAAUAGUCAUAUAUAACAUUUUUGAAUUUGGACAUCGACUUGCUUCUACUUUUAUCUCUAUCAUUCAAACCUUUGGACUUAUUUCUCCCCCUGUAAUGCCUUAAAAACAGGUCCUGGAACGUCACACAGUGCUCUGAACUACAAAUAGUCUCAAGCCAACCCUGAAAGCCUGUUACUCAUUCUGAAACUCAAGUGAAGAAAAUAUAAGCAUGGGAAACAUUAAAAUACUAAAAUACUAUCUGAACUGGGCUGAUUUUAAUUGAACAUAAUGUCUGAAAGUACUUAACUAAGAAAUCUGAACAACCGACACUGUAAGGCUGAAAUGUAUCUAAUAGUCGGACAAGCUUCUAACACUACUAACUAGAGAGUCGUUACAACAGACCCCCAGCUGACUCGAACUGACUGAAAAUAACUGAAUAUACUUUAUAAAACUAGAAAUUUGAAUAACUGGGUCCCCAAACUAUGAGGAUUCACUAACUAUCAGGAUGUAGAUAGAGAUGUUUGCGGUUAAUCACGUUGCUGGAACUGAGAACCUGAACCCACAUUAUUAAAGAAUGUAGCACAUAGACAUAUAUGUGGAUCAGUACUUUUGAAAUGUACUGAGCAUGUGGGGGUGAAUGCAUAAGUAAAACAAUAUCUCAACAUUCAUAUAAACUUAUAAAAGAAUGCAUGCUAAGUGUAAGUGGUUCACAUUAGCUUGAAUAACUGAAAGCUGAAAAUCAUGAAUAAUAAAGCAUACUAUAUAAAUCUCGUGAGCCAUGACACUUAGUUCUAAACGUUAUACUUGUAAUAUAUUUUCAAAUUAUGCAAUCUAAGUGAAGAAAGGACUCAUCUUUAUCAUAUAAAAACUAAAAGCUGAAAUUCGGUAACUGAUGUCCUAAGUAAGACAGUAUCUAAGUAAAUUUGUGAGCCUUUACACUUAAUUUCUAAAAGAUUUUCCUGUUAUUCUUUUCUGUUAGGGCUUAGAGAGGUUCUUCUAACCGACAUACACUAUGUGAGCUAUCAUAGUGUCCAACGUCUAGUUCUUCUAAGGGGAAAACCUCACGUUGGGGAGAGGUCUCAUACUCUUGCCAAGGAGUAUAACCUGAGCUAAUUGAUCAUAAUCUGUAUCUGUCAUCCAUAUAAAUAGGAAUAAUCUGAAUAGUCUGUACCUACGUUGGCUCAUAAUUAUGGGGCAUGUAAAUUAGGACACACACCCAACUCGGUGCUAAAUACUACUCCUUUUAAUCUGUAUGUUCAUUCUGUAGAAAAUGCACUUUAAAACCAGCAUAAGGGUUUACAAUGAAGACCAGUUAUGUGUUUUUUACUUUAAAUUGUAAUCAAAACUGUGAAGUGGAUUCCAUAUCUUAGUUGAGGAUCAAAAGAUUAAAUCUUGCUUAACAUCUGAAUAUAAACUAAUCAUAGGAUGCUUAAAAACAUAAUCUUCUUGAAAUAUCAAUAUUUAAACUAGGCCUUAGUAACCCAUGUUUCAAACUCAUGUCAAAUUAUCAUAAAGUCAUGCUCAAUAAUCAAAAUCUUGAAAUUCUUGCACAAUUCUAGUCAAGAUAGUGAAAUUCAUCUCUCAAUGUAUAUAAAACCACUUCAUACGCAUAAAUAGCAAAAAUAGAGAUGCAAUUUAACAUUUAAUUACUUAUAACAUCAGUAUCUUCAAAUAAUGAUAAUUGGGUAUGAACCCUAAACUGUAAAUCAUAUAAUAUCAUAUAAAUUCAACUUUAAAAACUUAUUUUGGAUGAAAGAAGUAUCCUUGUUCAUAACCCCACACACCUUGUUGGUUUAAUUAAAUGUAAAAGCUUGAGAUUUUGAAUCUCUAAUGGUGUUCUUGAAGCUUCUUCUUUAAGUUCUUGAACCCGGAAGCUUGGAUUAUUGACUUUCUUGGAGAAGGAGUAAUCAAAUUAUUCUUGAUUUCUUAGAGCUAGAUUUUGUUCUUAGAUAGGAAAAAGUUGAAUAAUGAAGUAUCUAUUCUAUUUGGGGCUCAAAUUAUGUGUUUUGGGCGGAUUUGGGUGAGGGUAAAUGACUCAAAUUCCUCCAUGGACCCAUAUUUAAAAACACAAAACUGGGAACUGAUGAGAUAAGCGAUGCAUCACGUCGCUCACUGCGAUGCGAUAGGCGAUGCAUCGCGUUGCCCUCCUCGAUGUGACCACUGACGUGACGUGUCCAUGUCAUGUUGACAUUCUAUUUUGGCCAUCCAAACAUGCCCCAAACCUUCUUCAAAAAUUCCAAACCUCACCCGAGAGGUACUAUAGACUACCCUGAUCCUGAAAUAACUUAAAAUUUUACAUUCCAAAGUUGGAAAGGUCGAAAAUAAACUCAUCAAAGUUUUUAGGCUAAAAAUGAGACUAAAUCUUCAACACUUAGCUAAAAUUUCAGGUCCUAAGUCUCUAAUGCACCCAUUCUAAGCAGAAUUGAACUGGGUAGAAUAUGUGGUAUUACACCUCCUCUCUUUAGUAACCAAAACAUCAGAGUGUGGAGAUGAAGAAGAUGAGGCCUAAGAUCUUCUUCUCAUCUCUUCAUUCAAGACAUCAUCUUAAUAUAUUCCAUAGUUACAACACCACCAGUUGCAGAAUUAAUAAAAGAAACUCAAAGAGUUUUCCAAGAGUGAGAGAGUAUUAAGAAGCCAAAUUUCCUGAAUUUCUUCAUCAAACUUUACACUCAUUCCGGACAGCUGGUCAAGGACACCCUGAAAAUCAUUUAUAUGAUCAGAAAUAGAACUGUCCUCUUUAUACCUGAUAUUCAUCAAUUGCUUAAGCAAGAACAACUUAUUAUUUCCAGUCUUCAAAGCAUAAAGUAUCUCAAGCUUGUCCCACAAACUUUUGGCAUGUGUCUCAUUCACAAUAUGAUUUCUAACAUUAUCUUCAACCCGUUGUCUAAUAUAGCCACAAACCUGUAGGUGCUCAAAUUCUCAAUCCUCAUCUAUCAUGGAUUGAGGUUUAGUAGACACAAACAUAGGUAAAUGCAUUUUCUUGACAAAUAGGAGAUCUUUCAUCUUGCCUUUCCAAGUAUGAUAAUUACUACCAUUCAAACACACAAUUUUUAUCAUAUUUGUCUCCAUCAUUCAAAUCGAUAAUCAAUAACAACCUACGCUGAGAUACUACUUUGUUAGGAAAGAGCAGGGGUACUAUCAAAGUGCAUGACAUGGUAGCAGCGGAAAAAUAUCCAAGUCUAAACUUUUCCUUUCAAUUUGAACCAAGAGGAUACUAGCAAACCCAAGCACAAUAUUAAUAUGACAUCAAAUAAAUCGACCAAAUAAAAAUGGUAAGACAAGAAUAAAAUCAAUCAAGACAAGACACCAAAUUUACGUGGAAGCCCCUUCGAUGUGAAGAAUAAAAAUUCAUGGGACCAAAACCUCCACUAUAAUCACCAAGAUUUACAAUAUUGUUCUCCAAAAUGGCCACCAAACAAGUGUCAAACAACGAGCAACAACACAACAAGAUAGCACCAAAACUAGAGAAUAAAAAGCAGCAACAAUACAAAAAAUGCAGCUGCUAUUCGAAAAUGAAAACAGGAUCUAAAGGCCACCAAAUCCAACUCCAUUAGCUCCUAAUCAAAGGUUGAGAUGAGAGGAACAGUAUGUCCAAAAAUCAGCUCAAUCAGACAAGAAACGAAGCAGAAAUUACAAUUUGAAGUUGACAGUUGUGGUUGAAAUUUUAGGUGCUAAAAUUUGCUCUUGUUUUCUCUCUAUGGCUGCUGAAACUCUCUUUUGUUAUAUAGUCUCUCUUUUGUUAUACAGUAAUAGACCUAUGGGCAGAACUGGGUUGGUUCAAAUUGAGCUUUAUUUAUCACAUAGGAAGGGACAAAGACCCAUGACCAACAAUUAUUUGGUAAGCAUGGGGAUAAAAAUUAUCCAUGUAUUAAUUUUAUACCAUGGUUAUUUGGUAAGUUUUCAAAUAAUUAUGUAAAAUUUAUUCAUGUAUUAAUUUUAUUAUACGGUGUUUGAUUGUGCUUUUGUAAUUCUAUAUAAUUAAUAUUGUCAUAACUUAUGAGGGAAUCUAUGUACAAUUUACGUGGGAUAGAAAGAAAGAAGUUAUGUGGGUAUUAAUAAUACAUAGAUUAAAUUAUAAAAUUAAACAUUUAUUCCUAUUGAUUUACUUGUAAAUUCUUUUUUAAGUUUAUGUGUCUGUUCAAUUAUGAAAGAUGUAUUCAAUUCACUGACAGUAAAUAGUUAAACUGCCAGUGUAUUUUGCUUAGUUAACUGCCAGUAUUUUUUUCUUAUUUUGUGCAUUUCAUCCUCAAUUAGUUAAACUGUCUUUUUUUUUUUUUUUUUUUUUUUUUUUUUUUUUUUUUUUUUUUUUUUGUUUUUUUCCCCUAUUUUUUUAAAUUUUUUUUUUUUUUUUUUUUUUUUUUUUUUUUUUUUUUUUUGCAUUUGUGUAUUAGUUAAACAUUAAAUUGUUGAAUUUUUAAUUUGCAAUAUUAAAUCUAUACUUUUUCAUAUGGAAUAAUAAAUAUUAAUUCCUACAUAACUAAAUCCUACGUAACUAAUAACUGCAUAACUAAUUUUUACAUAACUGCAUUCUAAUCAGUAAUCAAAAUACCCCUAAAUAUAUAGCAUGUUUGCUUGAUAGUAUAAAUUUAUCUCGAGAUUAACAUUUACUAUUAAUCAAACAUUGUAUAAAUCUAAUACCAAAUUUAAUCUUGGAAUAUCCCAUCUUAUUCCAUCUAAUAUGCUAUUAUUUUAUACCACUUUUCAUAUGGGAUAAUUAAUGCAAGGAUUAUAAUCUCAAAACUACAAUCAAGAUUUAAUCUACAUACCAAACGUACUACCUCUAAUAUGAAUAAAAUAAUCCAUAAAUUAUAAUCUCAGAACUAUAAUUCAAGAACUAUUUAGUCUACUUAAGAUAUAAAGGUGCAAAUUACAUCAUAUCUAUCAGGUCACAUAAUUAUCAAAAGAAAAGCUCUCGAAUGACAUUAGGUUCCUGGCAGCUAUCAAUUUUUUAAAAUGAUAAAAGUAGACCAAUUUAUAGGCAUAAUAUUUCAUAACCCUACAUGUGCUUUUCACUAUACCUUAGAUGGAUCUGACCAUUAUUAAAUUCCAGAAUAGGAACGCUUUGUGAAAUUACAAUAUCAGACAAUAGCAGGUCAAAUUGAGUUUCAUUUCGAAUAUAGAUUAUAUGAAAGCAAAGUCUAAAGGCAAUAAUGGAGAAAUCAUGGAGCCCAACACACUCUCAAUCUAGUCUAGACUAACAUUAGCUUACUGAACGAUUCCAUCUAUCACUUAUUUCAUUUCUAAGAUGCUAUUAGAAUUACAACAGUUCAACUGGAUUUCACGCAUUCACUAUAAGUAGAAGUAUCAAAUGAAGAAAAACUCAUAAAUAUAAAUACUCCCUCUAUUAAACUCUAUAAUGCAAAUAUGGAAAAUAACUGCAGUAAGCAAUCACAACAUACAUAAAUCCCAAAUACAUGAACCACCCUAAAAUGGGAAAAGUAACAAGAUGCCAGUCACAAAAACACCAAAAAAUCAGUUCAAGUUAUUAACCCAAGUAGCCCAUAAUUAGUGUUGAACUAAGUAAUGUAUAUAAAGUCCAAUCAGUCCAUGCUCCAGAAACAUGGCCAUUCUCACAGACAUUAGAGCGAACAACUGGUUCUCCAUCGUCAUGGUACCCAAAAUACCUCCUUAAACAGAACGGCGAAUGCAGAUUCCGCGUUUGUUUUGACGAGCAAAACGCGCAAUUCAGAUCAAUCUUCUUCCUGGUACCAUCAUUAAUCGUCCUCCAUACCCUCGACUGCUUGAAAUUCUUGAAAAUCCCCCCAAAAUAACAUGUAAUUCCUCUUCUCUUCCAUGUGAAUACAACCAGGCCAAUCACAUAUGUACAAACAAUCCCCUUAAAAUCUACUAGCUAGGCCAAUCACAUAAGAUCCAUGAAUGUUGUCAGGGCAUUAGUCAAUUCAAAGGACAUCACCAAAAACUCAAAAUGAUCAUACCAAAUUUGAAAAGCAGUCGUAGGGAUAUCCACCUCCCUAUUCUUCAAAUGAUGAUACCCAGACCGAAGAUUAAUCUUAGAAAAGUACUUAGCACCCUGAAGCUAAUCAAAGAGAUCAUCAAUCCUUGUAAGGGAAUACUUAUUGUUCACGGUCACCUUAUUCAAUUGGUGGUAGUCAACACAUAUCCAAUGGUACCCAUCCUUCUUACGCAUAAAUAGAAUCGGAGCACCCUAAGGAGAAACACUAAGGUGGAUAAAACCCUUAUCUAGAAGAUCUUUCAACUGCUCUUUGAGUUCUUUCAACUCUGCCAGAGUCAUUCUAUAAGGAGGGAUAGAAAUAGGACAAGUGUCCGAAAGAAGAUCAAUCCCAAAAUUGAUUUCCCUAUCGGUAAGAACACCAGGAAUAUCAUUAAGGAACACCUCGGGAAAUUCACAGACCACAAGGACAAAUUGCAAAGAAGGACCUUCGGAUCUAGAAUCCUUAACAUGCACUAAGUGAUAAAGGCAAUCCUUAGAAACCAAUUUUUGAGCUCUAAGAUAUGAAAUGAACCUUCCCUUAGGCACUUGGUAACUACCUUUCCAGUUCAAUCACGGGCUCAUUAAGGAAUUGGAAACUGACCUUUUGGGUUCGACAAUCAAGAGACACAUAGCACGAUACAACCAAUCCAUCCUCAAAAUCACAUCAAAGUCUAAUAUGUCAAACUCUAUCAGAUCCACCAAGGUCUCCCUACCAUAACCGACAUUACACACCCCUUAUAGACCCUUUUAGCCACAAUGGAGUCACACACUGAGGUGGACACAUAGAAGUGAUCUGAAAUGCACUCAUGGUCAAAACCAAAAUGGAUAGCCACAUAAGGGGUCACAUAGGAUAGGAUAUAACUAGAAUUAAGCAGACAAUAUACAUCAUGAGAGAAAAGUUUGAGUGUACCGUUAACAAUAUCGGAAUACCUCAGAAUCUUGGCGAGUGGCAAGAGCAUACAGACGGUUUCGUCCAGUGUUAGAGCCAGAAGUAAAAGUAGCACUCUUUGGUACAGGAGUUAAUAAAGUGGCAACAGGAAUCACAUUUGCUCUAGAAGGCAAUCCCUCUGCAUAUGACCAAUCUGUCCAUAUUUGGAGCACUUGUUCCUCUCCUAUUCACAAACACCAUAUGCAUCUGACCAUAAAAUCUACAAAGGGGAUAUGAUGGAGCUGACUGAGCCCUACUAGCCUGCAUUUGGGCACCCUGUACCCUUAGAAUCAUAUUAUUCUGAAAAAUAAUUACCCGACAGCUUCGACUAAGGAGCACUAGUCGUAGCGUAGGAAGCAGAAUUACCCCACUUCUUCUUAGACCAUUUUCCACCAUCUCUACCACUCUGUUGCUGACCUCCACCCAGAUUCGAAUAUCGAAACUUUUUACUCUGCCUUUCACUCAUCUCCGCUUGUUUCUUCUUUUUCUCUUCCCCUUGUUUCAUGUAAACCAAAAGUCUAGAGAUCUUAAUAUCUUUGUUCAACAAGGUGGCCCUGCUCUCCAAGAUCAAUUCAUGGGACAACCCAAAAGCAAAUUUUCUCAUUCUAGCCCUCAUGCUAGACAUUAAUUCCGGAGAAUAUUGCGACAAGUGAUGAAACUUCAAGGCAUACUCUUCUACCAUCAACCUGCCUAGCUUUAAGUUCAUAAAUUUCUCAACCUUUGCCUCCCUUAGCUCCUGAGGAAAGAAGCGAUCAAGAAAAGCACUAUAAAAGUCAUCCCACAAAGCAGACUCAACAUCAUCACCCCUAGAAUGGUCCCAUUCCUUAUACCACUGAUACGCCACAUCCUUUAAUUAAUAAGUAGCAAACUCCACACCCUCUACAUCAGUAGCAUGCAUCACAUAAAAAGACUUUUUUAUCUCAUCAAUAAAAUUGUGAGGAUCUUUCUCAACUUUAGAACCAGUGAAAGUUGCAGGACUCAACCUCUUAAAUUGGAAAACUCUAGUUACCUCGGUGGAUAGAGCAACAGAAGAAAGUCACUCAGUCUGAGAGGCCACCAACUGAGUAAGCAAGUGGAUCGACUAGCGAAACUCAGCAUUAGACACGCCAGCUUGAGCUGCAUAAGGAGGGCAAGGAGGAACCAGUGGAACUCCACUAGGGCAAUCAGAAGUAGUGACCCUAGACCGAGUAUGAACUCUUUGAGUAGUACGAGCUUUGUACAUAUUGUCCUCAGACAGGACAGAAGAGUUUCCACGAACAUCAGAUCCUCUGGGAGGCAUUAUCUAAAAAGCAAACAUAUGGGGAUUAGAGAAGAUUUCGAUAACUUAGACUCUAUAGCUCAAAAUAGAACAACAAAAAAGGAAAACAUUCCUAAUUCCUCAUUGUCUCUCUAUUAUAAGUGUGGCAUGCUAGAUACCCAUAAAUUGACUCUACUUAACAUGUCUUUGUGGACACCUAAUGAAAUCAAACUAAGCUUUGGCCUUUGAUACCAACUUUCUCACGACCUAAAUCAUGGCCUAGCCAUGAAGGGUAUCUCCAAUCCAUCGUGGAUCAAAGACCACCCCAUGAACCUAACCAAAUACCAUAAUAUCCCCGACGUCGAAUGAAUUUUGAACAAUAACAAGAUAAUAUAAAAUGAGCUUAAAAAAUAAAAGAUAUGUAUAUAACUGAUAACCGGCAACCGACCAAACAUAUCCAACCAAAAUCACCCAAGUCAAUAGUAAUCUGACAAAGCCUCUAUGCAAAAAGAACCAAAAAAAUAAUCUUGGUCGAGACAUGUCCCCGACUCUAACAAUGAAAAUGAUAAUAUUAAUGAUAAUGUAAACUCUCAAAUCUAGUAUAUAAAAAAACUGAUGAAAUGUUUAAGUCUUCUGAAAAAUAGAAGCUCAACACUUCACCAUAAUGAACCGACAAACCAAGUCGAUCCACCUAACUCUACGCAUGAAAAGUAGAGGUAUCUCUAAUGUCUGCAUCGUAUAGGGAUACAAUGUUUAGAGACGAUUAGUGGGGUGAACACUAGCAUGAAGCACAGGUAUAGGGGAUAAAAUAAUGUCAAGGAUAACAAUUCAAAACCAUUCCAAAAUUCAAUGCACAUAAUCAAAUGCAAAUACAUACAUACAUACAUAUAUAUAUAUAUAUCUAUGUAUGUAUGUAUGUAUAUAUAUAUAUAUAUAUAUAUAUCACAUGCUGAGGUAGGGAAUAAGGCUUAGCAUCCACUUUAAAACUUUAGCAUGGAUUGUGUAACUAAACUGUCAUAACAUAAGAAGGCACCCACGGGCUAUAUGGGCCCAGCUCUCCCCCAACUAGUUGGGCCUCAAUAUGUGUGAACACACGAACUAGAGGGUAUACAUAUGCACUAUAGGGGACUCGAACCUCCUAGCAUAUCAAGGUGACACAAACACCCAAUCAUGUAAUAUAAUGUGGGGGACUCGAACCUCCAAUCAUAUGAUAAUAAUAAUGAGGACUCUAACCACCUGAUAAUUUAGACCUCAGAUUAGCAAACGUGGUUUCUAGUAUUGGUCUAGCGAGACUUCCAUUUUCACUACUCAGCUACACAACCCUCAUUAAAGACCAAUUAAAAUAAUUAUCACACAUUCCCAUUCAUUGAACCAUGAUACACAUUUAGGCAUAAAUUAUUGGUAUAGUCAUACCAACUACACUUGCAUGGUAUCAACAUGCCAAAAUAAUUUUAUUAUUUGGGGAGAUUCAUAGCCCUUUUAGUUCAAUUAUACAUUAGCAUGGGAAAUUACACAACCCCAUAAGGUUUAAUUCAAUUCAUUAACCUUUCAUAUCAUGCAACAGUUCAAAGGUAGUUCAAUGUGCAUACUUUUCAUAUUCAAAACCAAUUUUACAAUAUGGGGUUGCGGUCAUUAUCACUUCAAAAGUCACAAGUUGGGGGAAAUCACAAUCCCAUAGUUUAUUCACCAUACUCAUGCACCCCACAAGUUCAAAACCCUAAUCAAAGAAUUAUUAAUCAUAGGUAAAUCAUGGGAAACAUUGUUCAAAAAUAAACAUUCAAAACCCUCAACCCAUAAUUUAAAACCAACAUCAAUACCAUAUGAAAAACACUUUAAAACAUAUGUUUUUAACAAAUUAGCAAUUAGGGAAGAGUAACAUGCCUGAAAUAUCCAACUUUAUGGAAAAAAUUCAACCCUUGAGCCCUUGGAUGACCUUCUUGGAAACCCUAAGUAUCUUGCUCGAGAGAAUUUAAGAGAGUUCUGAGAGUGUUUAAUUACGUUAUGAAUGAGAAAUAACCCCCUUGAGUGCUUUCUGAAAAUGGUAUUUAAUUGAGUAAAAAGGAAAUAAUUCAAAGUGCCCUUAAAUUAAAAGCUGAAAUUUAAUUGUCAGUGUCUACGGGUCACUAGACGACUCAAAGGGUUUUGUUAUGACUCGUCACCAUGAGUCGUAACCAAGACAGUUUCUAAGGAACACACAUACUGUUGACCCUAUGACUCACCUUAUACGACUCGUAAGGUACUGUCGUAGUCAACACAAAAACCAUUUGGGGUAAACACUAGACAUCCUAUAAUUUGCACAAAACAACUCGUAGUGAGCCACUCGUACUCAGAACAGAACUUAUCCACACACACACACACUGUUUAGGCUACGAUCUGAGUCCAAUGACUUGUCAAGACUCCCUACGACUCAUAGGAUAAGUCAUAGUCGGGAUAGUGAGGAUAAAAUUUUAGAAUUUUUUAGGGAUCAACACCUGGUGUUUAAGUUGUCCUUAGAGAAAUUAGUUGUAUUUGUAAGAAAUAUUCUAUAUUUAUUUAUUGUUUGCAGUGAAAGUUCUAUAUUUAUGUAUUGUUUGUAGUGAAAACGUCUUACUUUUAUAUGAUUGUAUGAAAUUUUAUGCCCAACAAAAAAAAGCUUGAACGACUAUUUAUUUAUUAAUAUGUAUAAAAUAUUUAUCAAGAAUCUAACGACUCUUAAAUUGUAGAAUGCCAUCCAAGACAAAGUUAAAGUAAUUUUUAAAACUCAAUUGGAUUAACAAUAACUAUAUUUUAAAGAAAAAUUAUUUUGUUAAUUAUAGUAGUAUUACAUAGUUUUCAUUUAUUUUCACUAAUUUAAUAAUAAUUAAGUAGUUGUAGAUUGAUAGUUGUAUUAAAAUCAGUAGUUGGAAAGUGACAAUGUUCAAAAUAUAAUGUUCAGUCAUAUCAAUUCAAAUAAGAAAAUAGUGUUGUAUCAAAUUCGUCUGAAAAGUUGUCACGACCUAGACUAACAGACCAUGCGGGCACCUACGUUGUUCUAAGUAGCUAGGAGAACCCUUAUUACCCAACUAAAAAUAGCAGAAGACUUCUGUUUUUAAGGAAAUAUAAAGUAAAUUAAACACUAAUAAAUAAACUUUUUCAAAAACUUCUUACAAAUGUCCUUCACUAUCCCAAGACUUAGCCAGACAUGUAUAAGAGCUACUUAUUACAACAAAGACUGACAAUGAAAUAAAUAAUACAAGGACUCUAACAUCUAUCGGGAAGAAAGUGCAGAAGUUAGUGUUGAAUAUCAUCAUCCAUCUAGUAACUGCAAACCAACUUGCAUUUAGUAUACACCCUAAUAAGGAAUGUAGAAGAGUAGGUUCAGUACAAUCACACGUACUGGGAGGCAUCAUCGGCCGACCGUGUUAGUUUAUAUAAUCAUAAAAUAGAAUUAAGAAAAAUAAAUCAUGACAUCUUGAAUGGAAUAUAAUUCAACAAAGGUCGUAAUAACAUUAUUACUUUACCUAAGUAAGUUACAUCAUCCAAUUACUCUUCCAACUCCAUCAGUAUUAUAUUCACUACUAGCAUACUCUAGCCUCAUUAAUUCACACAAUCAACCACAAUCCAAUACUAAUACAUCACUAUUUCUCUUAAUUUACCUUAUCUUUUCUAUUACUCAUAUUCACAGGAACAAACCUGUAAUCAUAAACAACCCAUACUAAAUUCUCGGGCUAACAACUCAAUGCUUUCAUAUAAUAUUAAAGAAUGAUAACUAGCUAUUCUGGUAAGCUACGAUUAAAAUACGUAUAAAUGAAGCAAGUCAACCAAUAUAUAAGUAAGUACAAAGUUUCACUUCUUCAAAUACAUAUCACACAAUCAAAUACCCAAUGAAUCAAUAAUACAACAAUAACAGAUCAAAUAGUGCUUACAAACAAGCCACAUAACCAUCAAGAGUAUCAACCAUACUGUAAACAUCCACAAACUCAACACAAAUAUGUACACACAUGCUAUAGGACUUAUUUUUUCCCAAAUAGCUAUGAUCAGCGAACAAUCUAUGUUCAUGUACCAUACCGGAGUGGUACCCGAUCCACCAUAUACAUAUCCAUACCGGCAUGGUACCCAAUCCAUAAUAUAUAUAUUCGUACCAGUGUGGUACUCGAUCCAAUAUACACAUAUUCGUACUAGCGUGGUACCCAAUCUAACAUAUACAUAUCCGUACCGGCGUGGUACUCGAUCCAUCAUACACAUAUCCGUACUGGUGUGGUACCUGAUCCAAUAUAUACAUAUCCAUACGGCGUGAUACACGAUCCAUCAUACGCAUAUCCGUACCAGCAUGGUACCCGAUCCAACAUAUACAUAGCCAUACUAGCAUAGUACCGGAUCUAACAUAUACAUAUUCAUAUUGACGUGGUACUCUAUCCAACAUAUACAUAUCCGUACUGGCGUGGUACCCAAUACAACAUAUACAUAUCUGUACCGAUGCGGUACCCGAUCCACCAUAAACAAGUAAUAUCAAUAUUAAAUUUACACUUCACACAUCAUACAACACGAUGUACCAAGUUUACAAGUACACUUAAAGUAAUGAGAUAAUUCCAUCAAUUAAAUUUAAAAAUUCAUUUACACACGCAUCAACAAUCCAAACAUCAACAAGUCAUUUAUGGCAUUAAUACAAGAAGUUAUCAUUAUCAAACAAGCCUCUCAUAGGCACAUUUCAAUAAAUCAUCAUUAUCAACAAUUUAGCCCCUCAUGGGCAUCCAAUAGAUAAAGUGUUUUUAUCAAUACCAAAACAACAAUAUCAUAAAAUAAAUUACAAUUUAACAUUUAAGCAUGCAAGUCACUAUUGGAGUAUUACUUACUCAUUAAUUAUUAAAAUGUCACUACCUCUUUUCAUAUAAUACAAUAAUCAUACUAAUUCUAGUCAUCUAUCCUUUAGAUGUUAAUGUGCUCAUUGGUGCUUAAUCCUAGCAUGGUUCUCCACACCAUAUUAUUUUCCAAUAUAUAUAACUUAAUAUUAUUAUAACUCAACUAGGUUCAUCACCAGAACAAGUAAGAACUAUCAUGUCUAUAUCCUUCAUUUACAACAAUAUCAUUGUAGCACAUAGCACAUAAUAUCACCAGUAUCAUAUAAUUAAUCAAUAAUAUAGUUUUCGGGACUAAAGUUAAGUUCUUGUGUCUUUAUCCACCUCAACUCCAUGUCCGCAUGCCUAGACAUGCUUUCUCCCAUCAAUUUUAAAUUAUGAAAAUAUAAAUUAACACAAUCUUCUACUCAUUAAAUCUAGCCUACCUAGAAGUCAAGAUUUUAGAAGAAACGAGUUGUAACAAAGAUGCUCUUUUCUUUCCUUUAUUCCUUGGGAUAAUCAACCAUCUAAAAAUUAAGCAAUUAUAAGAGUAAUAAGUAAUUACUCUUCAAUCAAAUAUCUUGAAAAUUCAAACCUACUAAUUAUAUCCUUCAUUCAAGGUCUAUAUCAUCCUCCAAAUUCAAUCAAUCAUUAAUUAGCUCUUUCAAACUUAACUCAUCUCCGUUAAUCAAGUUUUUAUGCUAAAGGUCUCAUCUUUAUGAAAUUCAAGGUUCCUAGCCAUCAAAAUCCAUAAUUUAGUUUAUGAAAUUCAUGUUAGAAAUCUUUAGUUUAUAGUUUAGAAUCAUCUCUAGGUCAUAUUAAAAAUAUCCAUGAGUAUUCCCCAAAAGAAUUCCACCAUUAAAGGUCUUUCUAAGGAUUCUAAGAUAUUAAAGGAUUAAAAGACAAAGAAAAUAAUGGAAAAACUUACCUCCGCGAAGGAAUUUCAACUUAAGCUUUGAGAAAACACCUCUCUAGGGUUGGGGAAUGAAAUUUGGGAUUUUUAGACCUAAAAUACGGCUGAAGCUGAUUUAAAUACAACCAGAAUUUUCGCUAUAGCGAAAUCCUGUUUUAGCCCGGACAGUGCUAAGUAAAACAGUCAUAACCUUUUACUCCGAAUUCAGAUUGAGGAGAGGUUUAUUGAGUUGGAAAGAGGACUCAGAGAUAUUUUAUUUGAUAGGUAAUCGGACCCCUAACUCCUGAUAUUCUAUGAGAUAUGAUCGUUUGACGUUGACCCUAGUAAAAAUCCAUAUCGAAACUGUAUCGGAAGGAAAGUUUUAUACUUAAUACUUAACUUUGUGUUAGGGAUAUUGUACAACCUUAAUUCAUACCUAAAGAGCUUUCAAUACUAAAGCAUUGAUAUUAGCACUCAUGAAUAAUUAAAAUUCAUCAAACUUGAGUCUAUCUAGACACAUCCGAAGGCUAAAAUCUUCACCAAAAAAUUUGCGGUGUCAUAAUAAAUAAAAUAUUGGCUAUUUUGGACCCAAAUUAAUAUUGAGGAAUGAAAAUUAAGAAUUGUCAUGAAUUUAUUACGAAUAAUUUAGUAACGAUGAAAUAGGUUGUUACAAUCAGAUACCAAUUUACCAUCCGUUCGUCCCCGAACGGGCAUUCAGUGGAUAAAAGCACGAGGUUAGAAUUAGAGAGACAUCACUAAUAGAGUUUCUUAUACUGCACCCUAUUCACUCACUCGAUAUCCUUAUCGAUCAACCCACAUUUUAUACACAAUCAUUAUAUUAAAGUUUUUCAUAAUACGAAGAUGCGGAGCCAAAUAUUUACACACAAAUCACUUGUUCUUCUUUCAACGGCCUAAGUCUGAAACUUGAGUUUUACGAAAGAAAGAUAAAGAUGGUUAAAAUAUUCACCUUGAAGAAGAUAAAUUUUCAAAAAUACCUAUUUUUUUUUUACCGAAGCUCUAGAGCCCCAAAUUCAAUUCUGAAAAAUACUAUGAGAUGCUACAUGAAUCUACUACUCAAAUUUUCAAUACUAGAUAAGUCACAUCUAAUCCAUCCAACACACAAGUUGUCCGUAAGACACCUAACUCAGUUUCUAGCCAAGACUAUCCCAUGGAGAAUCUACAUUUGAUUAUAUUUAAGCCACCACACCACUUACAAGUCACAUAACUUAGACAUCCGCAUGAACUCAAUCAAGAUUAUUAAAUUCAUUCUAUAAAGCUAGCUUUAACAUUUCACAAACACUAUUAUUUUCACCUCAAGAUCACUCAUGAUUCAAGCUUAGUAUUUACUACUAUACAUAGAUGACAACAUAACCUCUCACUCAUUACACAGGCUUACAAAUUGGCCAUAAAGAUCCCAAAGAAUUAUAGACUACAACACAUUAUCUUCCACAAUAUUGUUAAUACUCAUCUAAUCAUCAUACCUUAAUCACUCAACAAGCAAUAUCCAUCAAGUAUCACCCAAUGAAAGAUCAAUCAUGCCAUUUAAUAAUUCACUUAUUCUCCCAUUCAGGAUCAUUCUUAAUUGUUUUAUGAGUGUAACUAAGUCAUUUGAUUUUGCAUUGCCACUAUCAUGAGAAUUACUAUCCUCUAAAAGUAUCAUAAAUCAGUCAAUUCUGUGGGACAUUUAUAAUUCAGCCACAAGGUCAAGUCAAUAAUAAUUUAUUUUCUUAAGAUUAUUCCUAAUGCAUAAAUCAACAGCUACCACUUAUGUUCUGACAAUCAUUAAAUAUUUUUCAACGACAAACACUUCACGGUCAAGCCAAAUCACUCUUAUAUCACUGACACAAAUUUAAGAUAUAUAGAGUCAUUCUUAUUUCUAACUAACAAUAUUUUUAUACGGGCUUCACUUAGCUCUUAAUCAUCUCAAGAGUGGUCCCACACCAAUAGCAUAUAAGCAAGGUCAAAUAAAAUAAAUCGAUUAUAGGUCAUUAACAGUCUCAUCAAUAAUAUCAUAUUCCAGACAAGUUAUCAAUCAAAUUCUGUAGGUAUCAACAAACUCUACUAGUUUUUGUCACUUUUAUUUAAAACUCAUUAUUUUUCCAAGCAUUAAGAAUCCGUUCACAUAAGGAACUCAAAGAUAAUGUCACUUAGCUAGUCCUAACAAGGAACCCAUUAUAAUUUCAAUAAUAGAAUUGCACAAAAAUUCUAAAUACAUUCUUAAUGAUCGGAGCACACAAGGAUCCCCACAUAAUAUCAAAUAAUUGAACCACAGAAGAAUCUAUCGACAACAUCAUCAGCAAGAACCUCUCAUUAAGGAAAAUACAUAUCACCUCGGUUCUUUAUUCAUGUCUCUUUUUCAUCAUUUUUUCUUGACAUCAUGUUCUCAUAUCAUCUUCUCAAUUCUCAUAUCAUCAAUUUAUCAGUAUAAUAGUAUCAAAAACAAGUAAGCACCAUAGAAUUACUAGUUUCAUGCAACAAAAAUCAAAUAAUCUCAUCACAAUUAUAAAAAAAAAAAUAACUUGUCAAUUUUCAUCAUUGAAAUUCAAACAAAAAUAAUUCACAACAGUGGCAAUAAUCUAGCAACCCAAGUUCAGCCACAUAUCAAACACAAGCAACCUAUAAAUUCACUACUUUGACAAGUCUUUACCUAUUAAUAAUAACCUUUAGCCUGAUUAAUAAAUACCAAUUGAAAUCUUCUAAAUUUUUAUUCAAAAUUACAAAGAUACCAAUUGAAAUCAAUUAGAAUUGUCUAGAUACCAAUUGGAUACAACCUAAUAGUUGAAGAUUAGAACGGCAAGAUAGAGAGAAAGAAAGGAAAAUAACUUCUACAUGCCUCAUAGCUUUCUGAAUAUUGGGUGUGGGGCCUUACACAUCAAUCUAUGGAACUCUACUUGACAUUGCUCUUGUACCUGUGGGACUAGUGAACCUAAUGCUUUGAUACCAACUGUCACGAUCUAGACUAACAGACCAUGCAGGCACCUACGUUAUUCUAAGUAGCUAGAAGAACCCUUAUUACCCAAGUAAAAAUAUGCGGAAGAAUUUUGUUUUUAAGGAAAUAUAAAGUAAAUUAAAUACUAAUAAAUAAACUUUUUCAAAAACUUCUUACAAAUGUCCUUCACUAUCCCAAGACUUGGCCAGACAUGUACAAGAGCUACCUAUUACAACAUAGACUGAUAAUGAAAUAAAUAAUACAAGGACUCUAACAUCUACCAGGAAAAAAGUGCAGAAGUUAGUGCUGAAUAUCGUCAUCCAUCUAGUAACUGCAAACCAACCUACAUUCAGUUUACACCCCAAUAAGGAAUGUAGAAAAGUAGGGUCAGUACAACCACACGUACUGGUAGGCAUUAUCGGCCGACCGUGUUAGUUCAUAUAAUCAUAAAAUAGAAUUAAGAAAAAUAAAUCAUGACAUUUUGAAUGGAAUAUAAUUCAACCAAGGCCGUAAUAACAAUAUUACUUUACCUAUGUAAGUUACAUCAUCCAAUUACUCUUCUAACUCCAUCAGUAUUAUAUUCACUACUAACAUACUUUAGCCUCGUUAAUUCACAUAAUCAACCACAAUCUAGUGCUAAUACAUCACUAUUCCUCUUUAUUCACCUUAUCUUUUUCAUUACUGAUAUUCACAAGAACAAACCCGUAAUCAUAGACAACCUACACUAAACUCACGGGCUAAUAACCCAAUGCUCUCAUAUAAUAUUAAAGAAUGAUAACUAGCUAUUCUGGUAAGCUACGAUUAAAAUAUGUAUAAAUGAAGUAAGUCAACCAACAUAUAAGUAAGUACAAAGUUUCACUUCUUCAAAUACAUAUCACACAAUUAAAUACCCAAUGAAUCAACAAUAAAAUAAUAACAGAUCAAACAGUGCUUACAAACAAGCCACAUAACCAUCAAGAGUAUCAAUCAUACUGUAAACAUCCACAGGUUCAACACAAAUAUGUACACACAUGUUAUGGGACUUAUUUUUUCCCAAAUAGUCAUGACCUGCAGGGAACAAUCUAUGUUCAUGUACCGUACCGGAGUGGUACUCGAUCCACCAUUUACAUAUCCGUACAGGCGUGGUACCCGAUCCAUCAUAUACAUAUCCGCAUCGGCGUGGUACCUGAUCCAACAUAUACAUAUUCAUACCGGCGUAGUACCCGAUCCAAUGUAUACAUAUCUGUAUUGGCGUGGUAUCCGAUCCAUCAUACACAUAUCCAUACCGGCGUGGUACCCGAUCCAACAUAUACAUAUCCGUACCGACGUGGUACCCAAUCCAACAUACACAUAUCCGUACCGGCGUGGUACCCGAUCCAACAUAUACAUAUCCGUACCGGUGUGGUACUCGAUCCAGCAUAUACAUAUUCGUACCGGCGUGGUACUCGAUUCAACAUAUAUAUAUCCAUACCGGUGCGGUACCCGAUCCACCAUAAACAAGUAAUAUCAAUAUCAAAUUUACACUUCCCACAACAUACAACACAAUGUACCAAAUUUAAAAAUACAUGAGACAAUUCCAUCAAGUAAAUUUCAAUAAUCAUUUAUACACGCAUCAACAAUCCAAACAUCAAUAAGUCAUUCAUGACAUUUGUUGACACCCAAAUUUGACUUCCCGAUAUUACUUUUUGGGUUGCUAUUUUACCAAAUUAUUUAACUUUAAUUAUUAGUUUUUUUAACAUAUUAUUCUUACAUUAAAAAUAUACUAAAUUGCAUAAUUUGGAAAAAUACAUAAAUUAUUCUAUUAUCUUUUAGUAUCAUUUUUUAUAAUUUUUUAAAACUCAAACACGAUAUUUUUAUAUUAUUAAUAUUUUUAUACACACAUUUUUACAAAUACAUUAUCUAGAUUUUCAUUAUUUAGUAUUAUUUAAUUAUUAUUAUUACUAUUAUUUAUUAUUAUUAUUCCUACUAUUAUUUUAAUAACAGCCUAAUAAAGUCACUCUGCCUAAUUUAUUUAUUUUAUUAGCAUAAUCUUAUACAAGCCAUUACAAUUUUAGCCCAUUUUAUUACAAACAUAGUCAAUGUGAGACACAAUUUAAAAAUUUCCACCUUUAGAUCUCAGCCAUUGAUCAAAAUGAAUCCAACGGCUGAGAUCAAAACUUUUCUUUCUUUCCUUUUAUACACCCAAAACACGACCCAAACCCUUAACGCCGCCGAGCUGCUCCGCCACCUCCGUCCUCUCCUCCCGUCAACGAGCCUCGCCGGAUGUGAUUACCGGUGGGCUCUGCAUCUUCUCCGCCACCAAACGCCGACGCUCGUCCAUGGCUCCAUCUCCCAUCGCCACCGCCGCCCCUCUACUCCUCCGACGGACAACCAACUAUGCAAAGCCGCCCUCCGCCGUCAACACCAACCGGCGAUUUAGCGCUAGCGCCGCUCCGUUCUCCGCCUCCUAGAUUUGGCGUAAACCACCAUGUCGCUUCCUCCUCCGUCUAUCGCCGGCUCCGCGUCACCAGCCCCAAUCAACGACGACGACAACAUCACCAGCCGGAGGCACCAGUCAAACAACCAAGGAAACCCGUCGCCCCUUUCUCCGAGCUCCUUCUGCUCACACCGCCACUCCAACGCCCUAGACUCCGAAGCAUUUACAAGUACUUUACGGAUUUACCGAUGUAAAUCCGUCGCAGUUUUGUUUUGGUAUUGAGCUUUACGUGAAUCUGCCCCUAUUCUUCUCUUCUCUUCUCUUUUAUUAUUUUCUUUUGUGUCUCUUUUGGUCAUAGACUCAAAAUUGAUAACGUAGGCCUUUGAAUUUUGGUUCAGUUGCUAAUCAUUUACCCAUCUAGAUCAGAAUUGGUGAAAAUGCCCAAAUUCUGCAUGUACUUGAUUUUCACACCGAAUAUGGAUGCCGAUGUGUGCCUAUUGUUUGUUAUAUAAUAUGGAUUGAGAGUUCUUAAAUGUUGAUUAAUUUGGAAUGACUGUCUAAUUGCAUAAUUUUUGGUUGAACCCUAAUCUUUGAUCUGAGUGCUGAGUAGUUGUUAUGAGUUUUUCUCUAAGGAAGUAUCGAGUCUGGCCGUUAUUACGAUACUUGAUUCGCGUGAAUUUGAAAUUAUAAGUCUUGUGAUAGAAUAAUUUUCGUUCUUAAAUUUUGAUGCAAUUUUAUUUUGAUUUCAUACGUAAUUUUAAUGAUUUGAGUUGGAUUUUUGUGCAUAAUUGAAUUUUUGUGGUUAAGGCAUAUUUGUAUAAUCAAUUCUUUUAUUUUUAUUUGGUUACUGCUAUUACCUUUAAUAUAUUUUAGGUCUUUUCACUUGUUUUAUUUAUAGAAAAUACCAUAUGUCGUCCCAAUCUAUUCUACGUUUGAUAGAUUUCCCCUUUGUUAUUUAUGGCAAACCCUUCAUCAGAUUGAUUUAAUAUGCCUUAUUUGAGAAUUAUAAAAUUGUGUAAUUGAUAUUUUUCCUUCUCCUUGAUUAACUCUGAUUGCCUGUUUAGAAUAGUUUGUUUCAUUUCUCAUCAUUACUGAUUGAUUCUUCCGUAUUUUCUUCCUUUAAUUUCACAAAUUCCUCCACUAUAUAAACAAUGCCUUCUUUCAAUUAACCGACAGUUCGACAAUCAGAAUUACUACUACUACUCUCUUAAACAAAAUACUCCCUCCGUUUCAAAGAUAUUUCCUUUUUUGACAAUACUUUAAUUUCAAAUUUCUAUGUGGCAUGUUUAGGACCACAAAAUUAAAGGGCAUUUUGGUACAUUUGAUACAAUUUUAAUUUAAGGUCACAAAUUCAAAAGUCUCUUUAUUUUCUUAAACUUUGUAUCAAGUCAAAGUAGGUCAUUCUUUUUUAAACGGAGUAUCAGUUAUUUUAAUAUAAAGCAAUUAGAUACUCUAAAGGUUUUUUGGUUUUCCUUAAAGGCUAACUGGAAACGUCUUGCAUAUUUCAUUGUCACGAGUGCGUGGCUUUUAUUAUUCUUAUUAUUUCUCUUACUGCUGUUCACUGGUAAGUUCUCGAAACGAUGUAAUUUUCAUUCUGUGUGUGUUGACUGCAUCACGUGGUGAAAGCCCUUUAGAAAGCAUGUCUUUAGGGAUAUUUCGAUGUUGUUAUUAUAUGUUCCUGUUUGCUUGCCAUUAUAUCUUAUCUGGCAGAUUUAAAUAGACAGUUAUGGGGUUCCAAAGAGUCACCGGGAUAUUCAUUAUAUCUUAUCUGGCAGAUUCAAAUAGACAGUUAUGGGGUUCCAAAGAGUCACCGGGAUAUUUAUAAUUAGAUGGUAUUAGUCCUACUUAGUUUGUUUUCCUAUUAUUUGAUUUGUAAUAUUUUUGUAAAGACAUUAUUAUUGAUGUAAUAAUAAAAUUUGGGGACUGCUUGGGGGCGGGGAUUUAUGUGCUCUGUGAAUAAUGUAGGUAGGCACAACAUAGGAUUAUGUGAUACGUGUUACGUGAAUUAUUUAUGCACACAAUUGUAAGACUCCUUGAACAUAUGGAUCGUUUAGAUGCUUAAGGUUUAUUUAUUAAUUAGCAUGUAAUCUUUAACUUUAGGAUUUAAUUGAAUUAGGCAUUCUAAAUUAAAGCAUCAAGCAUGUCAUUCAUUCUAUGUUAGUACGAAUUUAAGCAUGGUAGUGAUUUUGAGCAUGUCGAUUAUUAAGUUUGUCGUAUGUUUAACAUUAAAAUAAACUUGUCAGACGGUUUUUUUUCAGCGUAUUCACACUAAGUUCCUGCAUGUUAGUUCAUUCUCCAAAUUAAAAUAUAAUUUCAGCAUAAUAAAUCAACUUUCAGCAUGUUAGUUUCUGGCAUAAUUUUAGUAUGGGAAUAUAAAUUUCCUGUACUAUAUUCAGCAUGUUAAAACAAUUGCCCAUUAAAACAAAUUACAGCAUUAUUAUGAACAUGUUUCUACACAGUAAAAAUUUUCAGCAUUGCUAAAACCUGUUUUUGCACAAUUUUAGCAUAUCAAAACUACUUUCAGCAUAUUAGUAUUAAAUUUUAAGCAUGUUAACAUUAAAUUUCUGCACUAUUAACAUAUUUUCCAGAAUGUUAAAUUUUUGGGCAUUUUUUUAGCACGUUAUUGCAUUAUAUUCCUGCACAUUAACACAACUGUCAACAUAUUAAAAUAUAGAUUCUAAAACAUUUUUAACAUGUUAAAUACUGGAUUUAAGUGCAUUAUUGGGUUUCUUAGCAUGUUGAUGCAUAUUAAUAUUUUGUUAGUUUCUUACAUGAGUUUAUAACACUUCACAAUGGAAUUCGUAAGCACAACACAUUUACCGCACUUUUGACACCCUCUUUUAACAACAUGACAACAUGGGUUACACACGAAUCACAGUUAUCUUGUGUCACACUCACAAUUGUUGAACACUUAGAUAUCAUGCCCAUAGGUUAAUGACAUCAAAAUAAUUAACUAUUUGUCUUUGCAUGUUAAUCACAUUAAUCAACGUUAAUUAACCAAGAGGUUAACUUGGAACAAUUAUUUGCUACGUGAUGCCCUACUUGUUACGAGCUUCGAGUCCUAGGCAAUAUUGCUUUAUUUCGUCUAGAUCACAAAAUUAAAAUAGCAAAGUGCCUCUUGGACGAUAGGUGGGAUGAUUAGUAUGUCUAAAAAACGUUAGUUUUAUCCUUGUCCUAGAACAUCUUUAGACUUGAAAUUCAGCCUAGGUGGGGUAGGGUGGGUAGUCAUUCGGAAGUUAUGAUCCCAACAAAUAUUGACAGUAAGACUAAUGAUAUUGUCACUAGUCUAAUAGUUCGGCCGAUGGGUCGGAUGAUGAUUAAACAAGUUGGGGUUCUGAUUCGAAUAAGAUCGAAACAUUUCUUUGUUUGAUUUGGAUGAGUUUUCUUUUCUUUAUUUACUUUAUAUGUUUAUUUGGGGUAGUUAGUUUAUUACAUAAGUAGUUCCCUUGUCAUUUCUUUUUCCUCUCUUAUCUUAUUAUAUGUUUUGAACACUUAGAUAAUUAACAAUUAGAAAUAAUAAAAUAACAUGUUUUGUUCAUUAACUAUUUUAUCACUUAGUUAAAUAUUAAAUUAAUAAUAAAAUGAGAGACUUUAUUUGAUCACAUAGAAUCCCCACAUAAAAUAUGAAUUCAGCUGAAAACCACCUUUGUGGACCUCGAAAGGUGCUUAACACCUUCCUUUCGAGGUAAUUUGAAUUCUUACCUGAAUUUCUGGUGAACUAAGACAAAACAACAAAAUAGUUUUGUAGUAGCCUAGACCGGCGUCCUAAUGCACCCUAAUUCGUUAGGUGGCGACUCUUCAUAUACAUUCCUUAAACAAGCCCAAAAAGAAUUUGUCAUGUCGAAUCUCGCUUUUCGUGAGAAAAACAGGGUGCGACAGAAUGACAACUCUACUGGGGAGAUUUUAGGUUCUAAUCAUUAUGAAUUUGUGUUUUAUGUGGGAUUCUCUUUAUUUGUUUUUAUGUUUCUAUGUUUGCUUUUGACAUAAUUUAUUUUCUAUAUGUUUUUGUUUUAUUGUUUAUUCACAUCAUGAUUUAUUUGCCUCUUCUCCUUCGCUAUUUUUUAUGUGUUAUUCCUGUGUCUCCAUGUCUACUUUCGCUUUUAUUGGUGAUUAAUUUACACAUGUUAUUCCCUUCUUCUUUCCCUUUUUUUUUGUGUUUCUCCAUGUCUACUUUCGCUUUUAUUGGUGAGUAAUUUACACAUGUUAUUCCCUUCUCCUUUCCCUUUUUUAUAUGUUAUUCAUGUUUCCCUAUGUCUAUUUUUGCUUUUAUUGGUGAUUAAUUUAUGCAUGUUAGUCCCUUCUCCUUUUCCCCUUUUUUACUUGUUAUUCAUAAUUCUGCAUGCCUACCUUUUCUUUUAUUGGUUAUGUGCUUUAGUGUUUAUUUUCAUAUUGCUAA
rnacentral:lncRNA from 1 species